CAUAAACAGAAAUAAUUUAUUACCAGCAAACAAGCACCAUACAAAUUUUUUAAGGAAGUCCUUCAGGUAGAAGGAAAAUGAUAUCAGAUGGAAAUUUAUAUCUACACAAAGGAAUCAAAGAUAUCAGAAAUGGAAAAUAUUUGCAAAAUAUAAAAAUAACAAUUUUCUUAUGUUUUAAAUCUCUUUAAAAGAUAACCAAGACAAAAAUAACAACAAUAACAAGAUAUUGGAGUUUAUCACAUACUUUUGAGAUUCAUACAUGCUGUUUCACAUAUCAACAGUUUGCUAUUUUUAUUGCUGAGUAAUAUUCCAAUCUGUGAAUAUACCAUAAUUUGUUUAUCCAUUCACUAGUUGAUGGAAGCUUUAGAUGUUUCCAGUUUGCAGCUGUAAUGAACAAAGCUGCUGUAAAUAUUCACAUACAGUUUUAUGGGGGCAUAUGCUUUCAUUCCUCUUGGGUAAAAACUGGGGAGUAAAACUGCUGGGUUGUAUGAUAAGCGUAUGUUAACUUUUUAAGAAACUGCCAAACUGCACCAUGGAAUGUCUGCACCAUUUUGCAUUCUCCCCAGAAGUACAUGAGAGUUCCAGUUGCUCCACAUUAACACCAAAACUUGGUAUUCCCAGGCCUAGCACAGUGGCUCAUGUCUGUAAUCCCAGCACUUUGGGAGGCCGAGGUGGACCGAUUACUUGAGGUCAGGAGUUUGAGACCAGCUUAGCCAACAUGGUGAAACCCCAUCUCUACUAAAAAUAUGAAAAAUUAGCCAGGUAUGAUUGUCCAUGCCUGUAAUCCCUGCUACUCAGAAGGCUGAGGCAUGAAAAUUGCUUGAGGCUGGGAGGCGGAGGUUGCAGUGAGCCAGGAUCGCACCAUUGCACUCCAGCCCAGGCAACAGAGGGAAACGGUCUCAAAAAACAAAAACAAAAAAAACUUGGUAUUACCAGUCUUUUGAACUUCAGUUGCUUUAAUGCACAUAUGAAUUUUGUAUAUGUGUUUUAAUGUUCUUGCUUCACUGUGGCUUUAAUGUGCAUUUCCCCAAUAACUAGGGAUGUUGAGCAUCAUUUCAUGUGCUUGCCAUUCAUAUAUCUUCUGUGGUCAAGAAUCUGCUUAAAUCUUUCCCCCAUUCAUGGGGUAGGGUGUUAACCGCUUUAUCGUUGAGUUAUAAGAGUUCUUUGUACAUUCUGAGCACAAAUCAUUUAUCAGAGAUAUGUUUUUCAAAUGUUUCCCUCCAGUCUGUGUUUGUCUUUUCACAGUGAGGGGCAAAAUUUUCAGUUUUGUUAAAAUAUGACUGAUCAAUUUUUUCCUUUUGUAGUUUGUGCUUUAUGUGUCCCAUCUUUGCCUAAGCCAAGGUUACUAAGAUUUUCUUCCUAUGUUUUCUUCUAAAAUUUGUAUAUCUUUAGCACUUAUAUUUAGAUUUAAAAAUCCAUUUCAAGCUUUUGUAUAUAAGGUGAGUUAGGAAUUGAGGCUUUAAAAAAAUAUGGUUAUCCAGUUGAUUCAGAACUAUUUGGUGAAAAGACUAUAUUGAAUUUAUUUGGCAUGUAUGUAUUAAUAGAAGUAAAAUAUAUGACAAUAGCACAAAUGCUAGGAGAGGGAGAACUGAAAAGACAUUGCUUUAGGGUUCUUAAAUCAUACACAAAGCAGCAUAACAUUAUUUGAAGGUAGACUUCGAUUAAAAGGUGUGUUAUGUAAACUUAAAAGCAAUGAUUUUUUUAAUAAGGUAUAGUUAAUAAGGCAACAGAGAAGAUUACAUGGAAUCAUAAAAAAUACCAAAUCUGUCAAAACAAGGCAGAAAUGAAAGGAAAAGAAAACAAAGAACAGAUGGGACAAAUAUAAAACAAAUAGCAAGAUGGGCAGAUUUAAACCCAACCAUAGUAAUAGUCACAUUAAACGUGAAUAACCUAAACACCUCAGUUAAAAGGCAGAGAUUGUUCUGCGAGGGUGGGAGUAGAGAAACACUGUAUCAUUCAAUCCCUGGUAACCAAAAUUCAACAAGAGACAUGGUAAGGUCAAGAUAUAAUGUUUAAGAAAUUAUCUGUGUCAUACUGGUGGGACAGCCACAUCAAAUCUAGUCCUAAAUCCCCUGGUGGAACAGCCACAUCAAAUCUAGUCCUGAGUCCCUUGGCAGCAGAGAUACAGCAAGCUAAAUAACCACCUCCACCUUCCCACCAUCUUUUCCCCAGAAAGCAGGGAAGAGAAACCUUGUCUUCAGAUUCCCAAAUGAUUAACUGGGGAGAGAAGGGGGUCUGUGGUCAGUAGGUGAGACUCUAUCUGCAGACUUUCCAUGAAAAUACUUGAUAGAGGUUAAGUUGGAGAGAGGGGAAUGUUAAAUUGGAAAUUCAAAGUUGGUCUUUCUGUAGCUCAAGCCAUGACACGAACCCAAACAAUGUUCAUAAUGAUUCUCUCAGUAACCAUAUAAGAAGAAUGACUGUAUCACCCAGCAAAGCAGACCCUGGAAACAAUUCUUUUUUUAAUCUAGUACUCAAACGAAAGGUAGAUGAAUUCAGAUUUUUGUAGCAGUCCAUCUUUGAACUCCAGGUUGGUCAAAUUGCCUUUCUCUGAGCUUCCCCAGCUUUCUCUGCUCUGCUCCACACCCAGCACCACAUACACUACCUUGAGGUGAUUUUGACAUCAUACUUGUGCACAUCUGAGCUCCAUGCUCUGUGACACGGGGGAUGGUCUUACUCAGAACAGCAACCCCAGGGCUUUGACCAGAGCCUGACACAUGCAUGGCAGAGGCUCAGUAAAUAUCCCUUGACUGAUUGACACCCUCAAUGUAGGGUUUGUGUUCGUUUCUCUUCCUGGGGCUCAAUAAGAAUAAUGCAUGUGGAUUUAGGCUGCAGCCAAAACAAUGGAAGUAGAACGUUAGGGUGAUCAUUGCAGCAAAAGUUGUUUGGUCUUUGUUUUUUGUUUUGUUUCAUUUUUGAAGCACGGGGCCAGUUGCUGAAGACAAGAGCAGCCCUGAUCAACAGAACAUUCUGCAAUGAUGGCAACACCCUACCCGCACCAUCCAGGGUGGCAACCACCAGCCACUGGUGGCUGCUGAGCACUUGAGAUGGCAAACGAGGAACUGAAUUUUACAUUUUCUUUCAUUUCAUCUCAUUUAGGCUUAAAUAGCUGCAUGUGACUAGUGGUUUCUGCACUGGAUGGCACAGCCCUGGAGGCUGUCCCCUUCCUCGGUGUGCUCCUACCGGUGGGGCCUGAUGAAUGUUGGGGGGAGGGGACAGACACCCCCAUCUGUUGAACUGGCAAGUGCGGGCGGGGGAGAGGAGGAAUUGACCUCCAAACAGCUGGCUUUGUUCUAGGCAGAGUACCAUUCCCCCAUCUCCCACCACCUCCCCAGGCCCUGGCACGUGGCACUGCGUUGGACACUUGGCACAUAGGACUUCUCUGCGUGCCAACUCCCCCGCCUGCCUUCCUCCCUCCUUAAUUAACUCUGCAGCAGCAACUUUGUUUCCCUUUGCCAAGAUCGGGAGAGGGUCCUGGCAUGUGCCAGCAGGGCUGAGAGCACAGGAACAGACCCGCACGGCCUGGCUCCACCCCCUCGCUGGGCUCUAGGAGCCUCCCCAGCCCACCAGAGAGCCUCGGGUCCCAGGCAGGCCACUGGCAGGCCACUGACAGUCCCUGGGCUUUGCCUGUGAGUUAAGCCGGGAGUUGAGUAAUUGCUGGCUGGGUUCUGGCUCCUCCCAGGAUUCAGCUGGGGGCUAGAAGAUGUCUCCAUCCCGGGAAACCUGGCAGUCAGCCCAGGGGGCGGGGCUGAGCGGGAGUGGGGGAAGGAGGCCCCUGGGCAGCUCGGUGCCUCUCUCCCCACUCUGCCCUCCCGUCUCUGAUGGGCACCAGCGCUCCCUGCUGAGAGAAGCUCCAGCUUGGGAGACGCCUGUGUUUCUCUCUAAUAACCAGGGGGCUCCUACCUGCCCUGCCUGCCCUGCUAAACUUCCCGCUGCCCCUCCAGCCUAGGUCUUGCCACAGAGGCAUCUGGUCGUCAGCACAGACCAGGCCCACCUGAGGGGGUUGACAGACAUGCAGAUUUCCAGGCCCAAACCCGGCUAUUGCCACCCAACCAUCUGGAACAGAACUGGGGACUCUGCAUGUUUAACCAUCCCCCACGGCGAUCCUGGGACUGGCCACCCUGUAGCUCCCAGCUAGGCAGGGGCCAGGCUGCAAGGGGCCCUGCCUCAGCUCCUGCAGGCCGCAGAGGUACCGACUGGUCAACAGAAGCCCGGGGGUCGAAAAGGGACCUCCCCAUGCCUGCUGGUUAGAAGAUAAAGACGAAGAGUCUCUCUUUGGCUCACAGCCAGGAUGAGGAGUCCGUAGGUAGAAGGAGGAGUCUCACAGUCCCUCCCCUGCCCCUAAGCCUCUGCAGAAGUGAGGAUCCUGCUCUGAGGAGGAGGAUCUACCCAGCAAGGGCCAUGCCAGUAUUUAACAGCCCAGCCUCCCUUCCUCCAGUGCAGGGCAAGCCUGUCUGCGCUUGCUUCCCCCUCAGGGAUGAUGUAGAAAAACCCUGUGACCCUGGCCCCUCCAGUCCUGCAGGUGGUCGGGAAGCCCUGCCUGCUUCUGGCCCAGUCCCUGGCUGGAGCUGGAGGCCCUGUUCAAUGGGCAGGUGCUGCGUGGAAGACAAGGAACCUCUUCACACGGAGGGCACUCCAGCCUGCCAGGCCCAGCCUGCCCUGGGCGAGCAGCCUCCCUCCCUCCCUCCCCGCCCACUGCUCUCCCCUUAAAUGGCCCCUGAUGGGUGUCUGCAAACUGGAGCUGAAUAAAAAUAAACACUACAGAGUGCCUGGCACAGGGAAGGCUCUCUAAUAUUUGUGAAAAAGGGAGGGAGGGAGGAGGGGAGGGGAGGUCAAGGGAGGGAGGGAUGGAGGGAGGCGGGGAGGUCGGAUGGGGGAGAAGAGAAGGGGAGGAGAAGGAUGGGAAGAGGAGAAGGGGAAUGGAGGGGAGGAGAGAAAGGAAGAGAGAGGAGUGGGGAGGUGGCAGGAGGAAAAGGAGGGAGGGACAGAGGAAUGAAGGGAGGGAGGAAUCAUUUUUACAAAGCCAAUGGGAGAACAGAAAGAGUGCUGAACUGGAAAUUAGAGGACCUGAAUUUGGUUCUUUCCCUCUCCUUAACUAAUAGCGAACCCUCUCUCUCCAGACCCUGUAGGGGACCCACUGUCUCCAGGCCUCCGUUUGCUCAUCUGUAAAGCGAGGGGUGGGCCAGUCACCCCGGCAUGAGCUUUGACAUUUUAGGAUCCCAGCCUUCCCGCUGUGGUUGCAGAAGUGGCUCUUAGGAUCCCAGCCUUCCCGCUGUGGCUGCAGAAGUGGCUCCUCUCCAGAACAGCAUUUAUGGCGUCUGGACUCCCGCCCCAGCUCCCUAACGGGGCAGGGAGCUCGCCUGCUCCUGAAGCAUCCGCCUCCCAGCCUCGCGCAGGUGAGGCUCAUCAAUAACGAUGGGCGAGGAUGUCAGGCUGCGUCUGAAGCCACCAGGGGCCCAGCAGGCUGCCGCGUGCUUUGUCAUAAACUAUGUUGUCACCUGGGGAAGAAUCAUCACCGAUAACAUAUUUCAGGAGACAAAAACAAGAGGUGCAUUGAUUUUUUCCACGAGGUCAGACAACUUCUGGGAAGGCUCCUGGAACUCAAGUUGUCACGGCAUCUCUCCCUGAAUAUCCGUUUGACCCGGGGUGUUAGUGGCCUCUGACCCAGGUGGGCUCUUUUUCCUGAUCACGGGCUGUUCUUUUCAGAGGCCAGCACCAUCACUGGCCUUUCUCAGACCCUGAGGAUCGAGGCUGACUUGGAUCCAGGGAAGAUUUGCUCUCUGGCUUCCCCUGAUCUGGCUCCGAGAAAGGUCUGCACAGGUGGCUCCGGGAGGGGCUCUGCUGACAGCCAAAUCUGCCAUUUGUUAAGCUUAUGACACACACCAGAGUGACCUGUCUAUUUCCCUGGCCACCACCCAGCCCAAAACUGAAGACAGAAUGUUCAAAAAUACAGUAUAUUAAUAGAAAAUCUGAGGCAUAGUGAGGCCAACAGAUCAGGAGACAACUGCCAUUAAAAAGGUAGUUUGCGGCCGUGAGCGGUGGCUCACGCCUG
rnacentral:lncRNA from 10 species